rnacentral:rRNA from 1 species
UACAGAGGUCUCAAGCGUUGUUCGGAUUCAUUGGGCGUAAAGGGUGCGUAGGUGGCGCGUUAAGUCAGGUGUGAAAUCUCGGAGCUUAACUCCGAAACUGCAUUCGAUACUGCCGUGCUUGAGGACUGGAGAGGAGACUGGAAUUUACGGUGUAGCGGUGAAAUGCGUAGAUAUCGUAAGGAAGACCAGUGGCGAAGGCGGGUCUCUGGACAGUUCCUGACGCUGAGGCACGAAGGCCAGGGGAGCAAACGGG